rnacentral:rRNA from 1 species
GACGGAGGGUGCAAGCGUUGCUCGGAUUUACUGGGCGUAAAGGGCGCGUAGGCGGCUUGGUAAGUCUGAUGUGAAAGCCCACGACUCAAUCGUGGAAGUGCAUUGGAUACUGCUAGGCUAGAAUGCAGGAGAGGUGAGCGGAAUUCCAGGUGUAGAGGUGAAAUUCGUAGAUAUCUGGAGGAACAACGGUGGCGAAGGCGGCUCACUGGACUGAUAUUGACGCUGAGGCGCGAAAGUGUGGGGAGCAAACGGG